rnacentral:rRNA from 1 species
CCUACGGGCGGCAGCAGUGGGGAAUAUUGCACAAUGGGCGCAAGCCUGAUGCAGCCAUGCCGCGUGUGUGAAGAAGGCCUUCGGGUUGUAAAGCACUUUCAGCGGGGAGGAAGGCGGUGAGGUUAAUAACCUCAUCGAUUGACGUUACCCGCAGAAGAAGCACCGGCUAACUCCGUGCCAGCAGCCGCGGUAAUACGGAGGGUGCAAGCGUUAAUCGGAAUUACUGGGCGUAAAGCGCACGCAGGCGGUCUGUCAAGUCGGAUGUGAAAUCCCCGGGCUCAACCUGGGAACUGCAUUCGAAACUGGCAGGCUAGAGUCUUGUAGAGGGGGGUAGAAUUCCAGGUGUAGCGGUGAAAUGCGUAGAGAUCUGGAGGAAUACCGGUGGCGAAGGCGGCCCCCUGGACAAAGACUGACGCUCAGGUGCGAAAGCGUGGGGAGCAAACAGGAUUAGUACCCGGGUAGUC